AUGACAUUAGAUCUAAGAUGGCUCCCAGAACACCAGAGACACAGCAAAAGGAAUGGAGUUGGAGUCCUGGAACCCCUGGGAAUGGGACAACUGAUAUGGAGAAGUUGAUCGAUAAGCCCCACACAGGCAAUGUGAAAUCAGCCAGCCACAGUACCUACUCCAUGCGUGAAUACUAAAUGAUCUUCCUUGUGCCCAGCACGAUGCCAGGAAGAGAGACAGGUGGCAAGAUGAAUGGAUUCUAGGAGGAAACCCUAACAUUCCUGUGUUUCAAAGCUCACCUGCUCUGAGACUCGCAAACAUCAUAAAAUAAUAUUAUUUAAUGA
rnacentral:lncRNA from 1 species